UACAGGGGGGGCAAGCGUUGUUCGGAAUUACUGGGCGUAAAGGGUUUGUAGGUGGCCACUUAAGUCAGACGUGAAAUCCCUCGGCUUAACCGGGGAACUGCGUCUGAUACUGGAUGGCUUGAGUUCGGGAGAGGGAUGCGGAAUUCCAGGUGUAGCGGUGAAAUGCGUAGAUAUCUGGAGGAACACCGGUGGCGAAGGCGGCAUCCUGGACCGACACUGACACUGAGGAGCGAAAGCCAGGGGAGCAAACGGG
rnacentral:rRNA from 1 species